rnacentral:rRNA from 1 species
UACGGGAGGCAGCAGUGGGGAAUAUUGCACAAUGGGCGAAAGCCUGAUGCAGCUAUGCCGCGUGUAUGAAGAAGGCCUUAGGGUUGUAAAGUACUUUCAUCGGGGAGGAAAAACAAAACUAAUAAUUUUAUUUCUUGACGUUACCCGAAAAAGAAGCACCGGCUAACUCCGUGCCAGCAGCCGCGGUAAUACGGAGGGUGCUAGCGUUAAUCAGAAUUACUGGGCGUAAAGAGCACGUAGGUGGUUUUUUAAGUCAGAUGUGAAAUCCCUGGGCUUAACCUAGGAACUGCAUUUUGAAACUGAAAUACUAGAGUAUCGUAGAGGGAGGUAGAAUUCUAGGUGUAGCGGUGAAAUGCGUAGAUAUCUGGAGGAAUACCUGUGGCGAAAGCGGCCUCCUAAACGAAUACUGACACUGAGGUGCGAAAGCGUAGGGAGCAAACAGGGAUUAGAUACC